rnacentral:lncRNA from 1 species
AGUCCGAGCUUGUCGAUUUGUAAUCAUUUGACAUAAAUCGGAUACCCCUAGACCUAAGGUAAGUGAGGUCUGACCUACGCCCUGACCAUAUCUCAUAUAGUGUCUUACUAACUGACUUACUCGAAAUAUUAUUGAGCAUAAAACAGGCUAUCUCAAAUAUAUAUCUCCAAAAGAAGAUCGAUAGACUUGCAAACUCCAUCAUGGAUCGAAUCAUAUCCAACAA